AUGCAAGCAAUCCCUGUCUGAUGUGGAGUUUCUCGCACUGAUAAGGAAAAACUGCUGAAGUUGUGAGGCUGCUCCAGGCAGAGUCAUCAUGUGAGUCAUAUGAAAGCUCCACACUGCUGACCUCUGGCAAAAAGGGAGAGAACAAGGAUAGGAGAGGCAGUGGGGGAAAGGUUCAAGUGCGGGUUUUCUCCUUGAACCUAGAAGAUUAUGGGUCAAGAGCUGUGUGCAAAGACUGUACAGCCUGGAUGCAGCUGCUAUCGUUGUUCAGAGGGAGGCGAGGCACACAGCUGUCGGAGGAGUCAGCCUGAGACCAUGGAGGCUGCGUUCAAGCUAACAGACCUAAAAGAAGCAUCAUGUUCCAUGACUUCAUUUCACCCCAGGGGACGUCAGGAUGUCCGUGCCCAGAAGUUCAAGAGUAAAAGGCCACGGAGUAACAGUGAUUCUUUUCAGGAAGAGGAUCUGAGGCAGAGUUUUCAGUGGCAGAGGAAGAGCCUCCCUUUUGGAGCAGCCUCAUCUUACUUGAACUUGGAGAAGCUGGGUGAAGGCUCUUAUGCUACAGUUUACAAGGGGAUUAGCAGAAUAAAUGGACAACUAGUGGCUUUAAAAGUCAUCAGCAUGAAUGCAGAAGAAGGAGUCCCAUUUACAGCUAUCCGAGAAGCUUCUCUCCUGAAGGGUUUGAAACAUGCCAAUAUUGUGCUUCUGCAUGACAUAAUCCACACCAAAGAGACACUGACAUUCGUUUUUGAAUACAUGCACACAGACCUGGCCCAGUAUAUGUCUCAGCAUCCAGGAGGGCUUCAUCCUCACAAUGUCAGACUUUUCAUGUUUCAACUUUUGCGGGGCCUGGCGUACAUCCACCACCAACACGUUCUUCACAGGGACCUGAAACCUCAGAACUUACUCAUCAGUCACCUGGGAGAGCUCAAACUGGCUGAUUUUGGUCUUGCUCGGGCCAAGUCCAUUCCCAGCCAGACAUACUCUUCAGAAGUCGUGACCCUCUGGUACCGGCCCCCUGAUGCUUUGCUGGGAGCCACUGAAUAUUCAUCUGAGCUGGACAUAUGGGGUGCAGGCUGCAUCUUUAUUGAAAUGUUCCAGGGUCAACCUUUGUUUCCUGGGGUUUCCAACAUCCUUGAACAGCUGGAGAAAAUCUGGGAGGUGCUGGGAGUUCCUACAGAGGAUACUUGGCCGGGAGUCUCCAAGCUACCUAACUACAAUCCAGAAUGGUUCCCGCUGCCUACGCCUCGAAGCCUUCACGUUGUCUGGAACAGAAGGGAGGCUGCUGGAGAAACUCUAUUUUUCUCCCCCACUUUUCCAGGCUGGGCAGGGUUCCUGAAGCUGAAGACCUGGCCUCCCAGAUGCUGAAAGGCUUUCCCAGAGACCGCGUCUCCGCCCAGGAAGCACUCGUUCACGAUUAUUUCAGUGCCCUGCCAUCUCAGCUGUACCAGCUUCCCGAUGAGGAGUCUUUGUUUACAGUUUCAGGAGUGAGGCUCAAGCCAGAAAUGUGUGACCUUUUGGCCUCCUACCAGAAAGGUCACCACCCAGCCCAGUUUAGCAAACGCUGAUGAAAAGAAAGGGCGAGAUCACCAAGGUUCUUCCAGGGCUGUAUUUCUGCAGUUUUGAUUUUCAUUUGCUUCAGCCUACUAAGAAGUUUCAAAUAUAACUCCACACUGAACAAGGGGUUUUAUGCCCUCGCCUAUGACCUGGAAUAGUUUAAAUAUGAUGUUCGAGGCAACACUACAUAAUACUGGAAGAAAACGCAAUGGAAGGUUAUUGCUAUUGUCAUUUGCCUAGAAUUUAAGUGAUUGAUUUUUAAAAAUUAGACAUAAACUAAGAUAGUCUGAGAAGAGGACUUCUGAAUAAUUUCAUUCAUUUUGCCAUUUGAUAAGAGAUUCCUGGGCUAGAAGGUUGAUUUCCCAAAAAGACAGAUAAGAGACUGAUAAUAUGACAAGAAUCUGGAGACAGAGCUGGUGCUUACAGAGACCUGCCACUCCUGUGUUCGCUUACAGUGUCUCCCAACAAAAGGAUUUCUGUGGCAAAGAGAAAACUAGUCUAAAGUUUAGAAAAGUCUCCAGGGAAGACGGUUUCUUGGAAAACAUUGUCAACAACAGGACUUCCUGAGGACUAUUUAUUAUUAUUUCAUAGGGGGCACUUCCUCACUCGCUAAAGUGGAUUAUCAGAACAUACUACCACCCAACCCAUAUUUUAGGAGUUUGGAUUUGGCUGCUGAUUAGAAUUGAAUUUCAGGCUAUCUCCUCCUACUGAAUCUUAAUUGUCUGUGAUGAUGGCAACAGUGAUGGGGAAUCUAAGCACUGGUUUGAUGGUGGAGAUAUUGAAUAAAUAGAUGGGAGCAGAGUUCCAAAGAUAUAAUGUAAGCCCUGUUGCACCACCACCACCACCACCACCACACACACACACACACACACACACACACACCCCUCAAGUAAAAUGAGAGAUCUGUCUUAGCUAACAUGUGUGCCAUUUUAUACAAUGACUCCUUCUAAAAGAAGCCAGGGAAACUCAAAUCACUUCUGUCUAUGGAUCAUCUCAGGAAAUGUAGUAGCCUAGAAACCAGAGACCUCUGUAUAUUCUUUGGAAGAACGAAGAUGAACUAAUUAAGAGAGAAUUAAAAAAUAGUAACUAUCCCCCAAUGUCUGAGAUGGGAAAAGGAAAAAGACACAUGGGUAGCCCAAAUCAACCUGCCUGAGUAAGUAUUUGAUUUUAGUAAGGCAUUUGACAAAGCCUGUCCAACUAUACCGGAAAGAUGAAACAGUGUGGGUUGGGUGAUGGAGCAGAUAUAUGUACCCAAAUCAUGGUAGUUAUUUAACCCAGAGAAAGGCCAGCCAUGGUGUGCUACAACGUUCAGUCUUGAGUCCUAUUCUGGUCAAAUAUUUUUAUUAAUUAGUUGAAUAAAUCAGAGUACUUGGACAAUUUAUUCAUACAACUGCUUAGAGUAAGUACUAUUAUUAUUGAUUUAUGACUUCCAUUUCACAAAAGGCGAGACUGAGGCUCAGUGAAGUUAAAUAACUCCUUCAUAGUAGCAUGCCAGACUUAAGAUGCAAACCUCAGACCUGGCUCUCCAACGUUCCUGAUACCUAUCAAAUUUGGAGAAUAUAUAACUCUUGCAGAGGCAGCUGCUAUUUAGUAUUGGAUCAUGAUUCAAAAGACACCUUGCUAGAAGCCAAUGAACGGCAGGCCAAAGCAACACUUAUUUCCAUCAAAUUUCAUCUGACUUAAAUUCUUACACUUUGGGCUACAACUUUAAAAAGGCUGUGACUUAGUGGAAAUUGACACUUUUAAGUACAAUAUGAAUUAAUAGUAUAAUUUUGCUGUCCCCCAAAGAUAAUGCUAGUACCAAUUGAAAGCUCAGGGAUGCUACCGUUGACGCAUCAGCAAGAGUUCUUGAGCAGCUUCACCUGUCCAUCAGUACACUGAGUUCCCACAACAGGAGUGGGAUUCCUCUGCCUCCCUGAAGAUAUGAGAGCUGUAGGAGGGAUUCCCAUGUUGGAGGUUAGAACAGCUGACCUCCAGUGUCCCAUCUAAUUCCAAGAUUCUCCAAUAAUGAGUUUGGAACAGCUGUGGACAGACUAUACUUGGAAUUAUGGUUAGAUACUAUUGCUGCAGGAAUGGAUAGACAAAUUAGGUUUUUUAAAAAUUGAUAUUAUUACGUGGAAGUUGACAGAAUUAUCCUCUUUAUAAUGGAAGAUACAUUAUGCUUAUGCAUAUGCAUAUACAUUAUGCAUAUGAUUAUGCUUGUGCUUCCUUCUUUAAUGGAUUUACCUAUUCAAAAGCUUAAUAAAAAGUAUAAGACUCUAAAACA